CAAAACAUUUCAAGAUUUUAUAUUUUGUAGCAGAUCUGAUAAAAAGCCAAUGUGUGCAACCCCCUUCCCUUUCUCCUUCACGCUCUAGUUUCUGGGUUUCGGAGCCGACCGAAAACCUCACGUAGCUCGAGGCCGGCUGAAGCUUUUACCCCAAUUAGCAAUCCUUUUCCCCAAAUUUCUCCAGUCGUCGUUGGUGAAGCACAUUGGAUUCAGGAAUUAGUAACAUUGAUGUAGGAAAGAGAUUAAAGUAGGGCGACGGGAGUAGAAAUACAAUUGUCAAGAUCGGGAGGAGGGAAAGAGAAGUGAGAAGGGAUGAAGUUAAGAAGAGUGAUGAGAGAACAGAGAAAUCGAGAUCAAUGAGAAGUUUGAGCUCAGCAGCAAAAUUCCUAACCACACCAGCGUCAACCAUUAAAGGAGCGCAAAGCUCAAGUUCGAAAAAUUGAUUUGCCGCAAACGAAUUUCAUUUUGAGUUGGGGAGUUUGAAUCUAAAAUUAAAGGCUAUUUGGGUAAAAUUUGAGCUAAUUUUGGACUGAAUUUCAGUCGUAGUUCGUUGAAGUUCGAAAUUAAAAUAAUUGUAUCAAAUUUGUAUUAAAGUUUAUUAUAAUUGUAUGCAGAGUUAUAUGAAAAUUUUAUUUUAAGUUUGAA